UCAGAAAGGACGGUGACGACCUGCUUGACUACCCGUUGCCUCAGAGGACUGAAACGAUUGGAAGGAGAACACUUUCUUUACCAUCUUGCACUUCAAUGGCAUCCUGGAGGAGAUUUUCUUGUAUCUUUCCAACCUGGUGAUGUACGACGAAGACACCACUGAUCUCGACAACGUUCAGAGAAAUUCACAAUUCAGGACCUGUUCACCUGACGUGCUACCUGUCCCAGACCUGCU